AAGACCUGGAAUCAAGUGGAGAUAAGCGGCGCAUAGGGUGCUAGUUAGGCACAGAGCAUCAGGGAGGCAAAUCCAGCCCUUUCCUUUCAUUUUGUAUCACAAAGCCUGUGGGAAGACAUUAUCACAAAUGAACAGCCUAAAGCCAAUGCCACAGCUCAGCAUCCUCAGCUCUGUUCAGUGAUUUAAUCUAGCAGACUACACUGACCUGGCUUAAGAAUUUUUCAAAUAUAAAUGAUCUAAAUGUUACCUUACUUGGCAAAACAAAAGCAGAGUCUUGCAUUAUCAAACAAAGGCAUGCAUCAUGUGCAAAGAAUAGAAAGCAAGAGAGAUGAAAUGGGCAUCUUUCUGGAAACGUUGUUUGGGAGCCUAGCUUUGCAAUUUACACCUCCAGGUUGAUCCUUCACUUGCCAGUACACACGCCUGAAACCAAUACUCUAAGAAGAAUACUGAACAGCA